rnacentral:rRNA from 1 species
UAGAUACCCUAUUAUUUGAAAUGUAAUUUAUUUACUAAAGUAGUAGUAGUUAUGUUCUUGAAACUUAAAAAAUUUGGCGGUAUUUUAGUCUAUUCAGAGGAACCUGUCCUAUAAUCGAUAAUCCACGUUGGACCUCACUUAAAUUUGUUUUCAGUAUGUAUACCGUCGUUAUAAGAAUAUUUUAUAAGAAUAAUAAUUUUCUAGAUUUUUUAUAAAAAUUUAUAUCAGAUCAAGGUGCAGCUUAUAUUUAAGUAGAGAUGGGUUACAAUAACUAUAUUUAUACGGAUUAAUUUGUGAAAUAGAAUUAUGAAGGUGGAUUUGAAUGUAAAAUUAUAAAGAUUAAUAAUUUGAUUUUAGCU